rnacentral:rRNA from 1 species
ACAUGCAAGUCGAACGAACUCUGGUAUUGAUUGGUGCUUGCAUCAUGAUUUACAUUUGAGUGAGUGGCGAACUGGUGAGUAACACGUGGGAAACCUGCCCAGAAGCGGGGGAUAACACCUGGAAACAGAUGCUAAUACCGCAUAACAACUUGGACCGCAUGGUCCGAGCUUGAAAGAUGGCUUCGGCUAUCACUUUUGGAUGGUCCCGCGGCGUAUUAGCUAGAUGGUGGGGUAACGGCUCACCAUGGCAAUGAUACGUAGCCGACCUGAGAGGGUAAUCGGCCACAUUGGGACUGAGACACGGCCCAAACUCCUACGGGAGGCAGCAGUAGGGAAUCUUCCACAAUGGACGAAAGUCUGAUGGAGCAACGCCGCGUGAGUGAAGAAGGGUUUCGGCUCGUAAAACUCUGUUGUUAAAGAAGAACAUAUCUGAGAGUAACUGUUCAGGUAUUGACGGUAUUUAACCAGAAAGCCACGGCUAACUACGUGCCAGCAGCCGCGGUAAUACGUAGGUGGCAAGCGUUGUCCGGAUUUAUUGGGCGUAAAGCGAGCGCAGGCGGUUUUUUAAGUCUGAUGUGAAAGCCUUCGGCUCAACCGAAGAAGUGCAUCGGAAACUGGGAAACUUGAGUGCAGAAGAGGACAGUGGAACUCCAUGUGUAGCGGUGAAAUGCGUAGAUAUAUGGAAGAACACCAGUGGCGAAGGCGGCUGUCUGGUCUGUAACUGACGCUGAGGCUCGAAAGUAUGGGUAGCAAACAGGAUUAGAUACCCUGGUAGUCCAUACCGUAACGAUGAAUGCUAAGUGUUGGAGGGUUUCCGCCCUUCAGUGCUGCAGCUAACGCAUUAAGCAUUCCGCCUGGGGAGUACGGCCGCAAGGCUGAAACUCAAGGAAUUGACGGGGGCCCGCACAAGCGGUGGAGCAUGUGGUUUAAUUCGAAGCUACGCGAAGACCUUACCAGGUCUUGACAUACUAUGCAAUCUAGAGAUUAGACGUUCCCUUCGGGGACAUGGAUACAGUGGUGCAUGGUGUCGUCAGCUCGUGUCGUGAGAUGUUGGGUUAGUCCCGCACGAGCGCACCCUAUAUCAGUGCCAGCAUUAGUU